rnacentral:tRNA from 2 species
GGUCGCUUAGCUCAGUUGGUUAGAGCGUGGUGCUAAUAGUUCAAAUCCUUGAUACGCCAAGGUCGCGAGUUCGACCCUCGUAGUGACCA